rnacentral:lncRNA from 1 species
AAUUUCGGUAAAUGGUAAGCCGAAAUGGUAAAUGGUAAACCAUUUCGGUAAAUGGUUUACCUAAGUAUAAAUACGGUGGAGAAAACCGAUAAGACUUUAGUACGACUUUACCCUGGGCAAGUAACACACGCUAAUUCCAAGCGAUUUAAUAUAUAUAACGUGACGGUACCCAAAUUGCACCUAUUUUGACAGUUUUUUCAACUACGUUUUUUUAUGAUUAAGACAAAAGUUUCAAUUUUGUGUUUAUUUUGUAGCCGUAUCCUUCUUUACUAUAGAGUGGGGUGCUCAUUUUCGCCGGGGACACAAUUUCGCCGUUUUAGGAUUUUGAGGUGUAAACACUUCAAAGGAUGGCUGAAAUGGAAGAAAUGUACCCGUAAAUUAUAUUUUUAUAACAAAUAUAAUAUUUUUUUUAAACUGAGACAAAAUUGCGGCUCCUACCGAAAAUGACCGAAAAACGGACAACGAUUUUCGGACAAUUUCCUGAAUAAAAAACACGAUUUCAAAGAAGUAUUUUCUAAGUAAAUAUUUGACUGAAUGCCCUAAUUUUGAAUUCUUUAUACCUUUGAAAUGUCUGCUAUUCAUCUAUAAUGCAAUUGAUUUGACAAAAAUUGAUAAAAGCUGCGGUUAUUUGGUUUUAAAUAGAUGUGUAAAAACGGCGAAUAUGUGUCCCCCAUUGACAAAACAUCCGGAAAUUUCAAACACCCUUUAAUCUAACUUUUCAGAUGAUUUUCUUAAAACAAACCGGUUUUCAAGCUUAAGAAUAUUUUGCAUUUGAAGUUAUCUUCAUAUAGAAAUAUCAGUAUACUUCAAAAACAUUUAGACCUGAACAUAAACUGUAGAAAA